GGUAAAAUGGCUGAGAACAAGCGAUAAGCUGUAAACUUAUUAACGAAAUGAAUUUUCUUUUACCA
rnacentral:tRNA from 1 species